rnacentral:rRNA from 1 species
UGCGUAGGGUGCAAGCGUUAUCCGGAAUUAUUGGGCGUAAAGAGCUCGUAGGCGGUUUGUCGCGUCUGCUGUGAAAACCCGAGGCUCAACCUCGGGCCUGCAGUGGGUACGGGCAGACUAGAGUGCGGUAGGGGAGAUUGGAAUUCCUGGUGUAGCGGUGGAAUGCGCAGAUAUCAGGAGGAACACCGAUGGCGAAGGCAGAUCUCUGGGCCACUACUGACGCUGAGAAGCGAAAGCUAGGGGAGCGAACAGG